CACUACUGCAUUUCAAAAAGCUUCUUUUGAUGCCUUGAGAAACAAUAAAGGUUUAUGUGGCAGUGUUGUCGGAUUGAAGCCUUGCCCUCAAUCAACUGAAAAGAAAACCAGUAGGAGGAGUAAAAGAAUUAUUUUUCUAACUGUCCUUCCAAUACUUGGAACAACGGUCCUUUUGAUUGUGGUUUUGGGCAUUUUCAUCCGUGCAAGGUCACAUACGCCACAUGUGGAGAGCAAGCCUCGGGAAUUAACCGGCAAUUUGUUCACUUUCUGGAGCUUUGAUGGGAAAAUGGUCUACGAGAACAUCAUUGAUGCAACAGAAAAUUUCGACCCCAAGUAUUGCAUUGGAGCGGGUGGAUUUGGAAGAGUUUUUAGAGCGGAGUUGCCAAAUGGUCAAAUUGUUGCCGUCAAGAAACUUCAUGCAACAGAUGGUGAUGCUUUGAGAAGUCCAAAAGAUUUCACCAGCGAGAUCCGUGCACUAACAAAUAUAAGGCAUCGCAACAUUGUGAAGCUCUACGGAUUCUGUUCACAUACACAACACGCCUUCUUGGUGUAUGAAUUCUUGGAAGGGGGAAGCUUGAUGCAGUUAUUGAAUACUGAUGAAACAGCAGCCAAGUUUGAAUGGAUCAAGAGAACCAACAUGGUUAAUGAUAUUGCAAAUGCAUUGUCUUAUAUGCAUCAUGAUUGUGCACCUUCUAUAGUUCAUCGAGACAUAUCGAGCAAAAACAUUUUGUUGGAUUCCGAGUAUCAAGCUCACAUUUCUGAUUUUGGCGCUGCUAGACUACUGAAGCCUGAUUCAUCUAAUUGGACUUCAUUUGCAGGAACUUAUGGAUACGCUGCUCCAGGUAUGUUUCUCAUGCGAUGCAAUUCCACUUGGUUCUAGUCAAUUUCAUAAUUUACCCUUUUUACAUUUGCAGAACUUGCUUUUACCAUGGAAGUGAACGAAAAGUGUGAUGUUUAUAGCUUUGGAGUCCUAGUUUUGGAAGUGAUUAUGGGGAAGCAUCCUGGUGAUCUCAUAAUGUCAGUGUUGUCAGCAUCAUCAUCAACCCAUGCUAUUCUACUGAAAGAAAUUUUGGAUUCUCGACCCCAAUCUUUGACUAAGCAAAUGGCAGCAAAUG
rnacentral:lncRNA from 1 species